GACAGAGGAUGCAAGCGUUAUCCGGAAUGAUUGGGCGUAAAGCGUCUGUAGGUGGCUUUUUAAGUCCGCCGUCAAAUCCCAGGGCUCAACCCUGGACAGGCGGUGGAAACUACCAAGCUGGAGUACGGUAGGGGCAGAGGGAAUUUCCGGUGGAGCGGUGAAAUGCGUAGAGAUCGGAAAGAACACCAACGGCAAGAACGACUCUGCUGGGCCGACACUGACACUGAGAGACGAAAGCUAAGGGAGCGAAUGGG
rnacentral:rRNA from 1 species